rnacentral:lncRNA from 1 species
UUGUGAAAGUAGAAGGCCAUUUAUUAUUUUGCUGCUUCCAUGCAGAAAUACCUUUUUUCUUGUACCAAGAAACGCUGACAGUAUUGAAUGAAAUGAAGUGUGGUGUAUUUUUCUACUAAUUUAAUAAAGGAAAUUUCGUCUGCCGUGUGUCAGAGAUUAGUUUACCUUCUUGUACUAAACAAUGCGUUAUGUCUUCGGCUACUGCUGUUGUCCUGUGUAUUUUUAAAUUUUGAAAUGUAUUUUAUUUUAGGUAUUCAAGAAAUGGCAGCAGCCAGAAGUCGCCAUCUUAUCCAGCACGUUAUGGGUACACUAUGGCGGCUCCUACUCCUGCAUCCUGCCACCACCCUGUCCUGACUACGUCCACUAGGGAGUUGGGAGCCUUUGGCGGCUUCUGCCACUGCAUCCUGCCGCCACCAUGUCCCAACUACGUCCACUAGGGAGUUGGCAGGCUUAGUGAUGAUGCCAGCAGGCUGACAGCCGACAGAAAGAUUCAGGUUGCCUCGAAAUUUUACCCAAGCCAUGCCGCACACUUGGGCCAGGCCUCUUGCGAACGACGUAUAACCAGGCUCAACGCAUGAGUGUCGAGUGAGUCCGGAGAUCAAGGCAACCUGCUGUGCAACCAGCGUGCAACCUUUGGUGACCCCUCUAAUGUUCUACCUAUUUCACAGCUGUGCCUCACCUACCAUCUAUCCAAACAGCAUCACCAUCUGUGAUCACUUAUCGAACCAUGGAUGAAUGUUGGGGUGGAGUGAUUUGAACAUUCUAUUUGUCUCUUCAAAUUCUUUGCAAAUAUUUCUGCUAUUAUAAUUCAUAUGUGUCUUUAGUACCUAGUUUUUAAUAGUUCCUUUCUCUUAGAAUUCUCACCAUCUACUCCUGCUAUUAUAAUGUAUACCUGCCUUUAAGCCCUGUUUCUCGUAGUUCUUUUGUACUUGUGGAUGUAAUUGAUAGGUUCUUAAUUCUUGUUAUACAGAAGGCCAAAAUGCCAACUUACGGCAUUUUUUCUUCCUUUGAUAAUCUACAGCACUGCAAUGUGUUCAAGAAAUGUGACAUAACACGGGCUCUGGUGCAGGAUAAAUUUAAGAGCAAUAUAGAGUACUUAUUUCAAGCACCCGUUAUUUUUGAAAAACUCAAGGAUAUAGGAGCACAAGAAAGAAAAUAUUGAACUAGAGAAACAUGGCUUCCCCUCAUAAGUCUGGUAAUAAUGUGACUUCCUUUCACUGCAAAGAUACUGGUACUCGCAUACAAGGUUUCAGGCAUGAAAGCUAUGAUACCCUUGGCAUUUCUCAGUGCUUAUUUGCCACACUGACGAAUGUCAAAGGCAGCAUAGGUUUCAUGCACACAUUGGUUGUAUUACACCUUUUGAGUAUUGCAUUUCUCAAACACUCAGGUUUGCAGCAGUGCUUUAAAUAGCAGAUGUAUUUCCUAAUUUUCAGAAUUUGUUAGUGCAAGAGUAAUGCUACAGAUCAUGUAAAAAUAAUUUUACAGACUAUAUGUCCAUGGAUGCAUGCUUCUUCUGAUGACGUAGCAGUGCCAUGUGGUUGGGGGAUGAAUGUCUAUUUCAGAUUUAAAUAUUGGCUUCCAGGCCUGGGUUAGUCUCCUACACUGAGUAUUCUAGGUCAGAGCCUAGUUACUGGAGGAAAGUGAAUUAAACUAGGAAUUAUAAACAUCAAAGGUCUUGUUCGGGACACUAAUGUAACAAUCAGCAAGGUUCUUUGUGCAUUAAUUUCCAGAUUUGCGAGAUAUAUUUUGACUGGUUUCAUUAAUGCGAGAACAAAUAUUUGUUUAUUCUCAUGCUAGAGUUCGCUGCCCCCAUUCGCAUACAACCACUUUACAGGCUAAAAAUUCAGUGUAUUAAUAGGCUGUUUUUUGGUUUUGCGCCGUCAGUGUUAAGGGAUGCAAACGGUGACAUACAGCAGAAUGCAGAAAAAUGUCUAAGGAAUGCAAGCAGGGCAUAGGGCUUUUUAGGCAGAUGCGUGUAUGUGCUAUUUAUAAAACUCCCUAUGGUAUGCCUCAAGGCAUUUUUAACCCUUUAGUAGAAACACUGACGCC